rnacentral:tRNA from 1 species
GGAGAGUGUAGCUCAGUGGUAAAGCACAUGCUUAAGAUGCAUGAGGUCCUGGGUUCAAUCCCCAGUAUCUCCU